GCAACGGGGCGGCUCUCCGGGCACAGGGGCGGCUGCUGCCGUCGGUCUGCGCUCGCGGGUUUGAGGCCGGUGCCGAAAGCCGAAGGAAAGGUGGAAGGCUCCCUACGUCCCCAGGGGAAAGUCAGCGACUGCCCCCUCCUCUCACGGCAUUUCACUGCUAAAUCAAAAGCCAACGUGUAGCAGAAGAGGAUGAAAGGAGAUAACGACUUUCACAGACCGGGAGGUGAACGUGAGGGAAUGGGACCUGCAAAGGAUCAGCAGAGAUUUUGAGAGCUGAAGGCCUCACCAGAAUGAACAGAAUCAGUGGGUUAUAGUGUGUGAGCACAAAGUCUUUCUCCCGCUCUCUUCCCUGUCCCCGACUCCAAGGUACAGAACCUUCUAUCAUGUCCCUGAUCUUCAUGCAGGAUCUUCUUCCCUUUUUGUUGCUGGAGAACAAAAUGACCUCCUCCUGCUAACUCCUGGACCUUUCUUUAGUCCAUCUCUCUGAGCUAUGAGGGCAGCAGAAGCUCCUGGGUAUCCUGCUGUGAUGGGACAACACUCAUCCCAGUGGGCAGGGGCUGGGUCCCUCGGUGCGAAGAAGUGGCAGAGGAGAGCUAGCUAGAAGGGCUGGAAAGGCAGUGUACUGGGGAACCCUCCUGCCAUAAUAAGGGCAGUAACUGCUCUUGUAUACCAACCAAAUGGAAACUGAAAACUAAUAAAGCCAACAGUAAGUGACUUUCAAGAUCAGAAAACAGGUUUACAGUUUGUAAGAGUGCCAUGGAACAUGAACUACCUCACAUUUUUGGGGGUCAGUGGAGGAAUCUGUCUUUCUCACCUACAAAGAUCAACUUGGGUGAGAAGCCGAGGCUCCAAAACCAGCUCCUACACAUGAUGCUAUUAAAACAUGUUCCUCAGUUCCAUAUGGAUAUUGAGAAUGCAAAUGGAUUCGGAAUAGGUUUGUCCAUCAGUAAGAGAAAAGAGCCUCAUUUUCCCUUUGAGCCCAAGAAACAGUGAGACACAAUGAGCUUUUUUCUAUUUGAAGAGGUUUUAUUAUUACUUUCUAAGCUUUCAAAUUUUUUGGAGAGUUUGUGUAAAAUGUUAGAAGCUUUCCACAGUAGUUUUUAUGGGUUGAGUGUCUAAUUAUUUCUCAUUUCUAAGUUUCACAGAUAGGAAUCUCAGCUCACAGAAAGAUUAAAUCCACAACAUGCUCUGUCUCGCACUGCAGUUCCCCAGGCUUGAGCUGGGAGCUCAACCUUGUGCUGCAUGGAAAUGCAUGAAAAGGUUUUACUAACUUCUGUGCUGGCAGAUGCUCACAUCUCCAGCAGGGAGGCCAAACCUCUGAUGACGAUUCUCUUCUUCUGGUCAAAAUGUCAUCUCUAGCAUCUGCUACCUGACCCUAACUGCAGAAGAGCUUCAUUCACUGGAAUGGCAGAUUUUUCUAACUCAUGCAAGAUGCUUUCCUCCAGAAUGGGAUUUUGUUUAGAGAAAACUCUCAGAGGAUGAGGUUUAUCCCAUGCAAUUCUUCCCUGACACAAAGCUGGGGGAUUGGAUAGGCAGCCAGCAAGCGAGCUGCUGUGGCAGCAGGGAGCACCACCAUCUCCAAGGUACACCAUGCUCCUCCAAGCUCUGUCCAAAUGCAAGAAGCUCCCAGGACAGAGCUGAAACCAAGAUGUUCUCCUUCAGCUGCUGCAGGGAGAUGUGCAAGAGUGAGGUGACUCUGUCUACAACUGUUUGCUGUGAGAAACUUAGAACUGCAAAGGAAUGUGAAUUCUAGGGAGGGGAGUCAGAAAGGAAUAGUCUUUACAUCAUGACAGACAUCUGUGUAAUUUGCCAAAAACCCACAAGAUUUUUGUCUUCUGUAACAGGGGAGGAUGUUACUCCCUAAAAUAUGUCAACAGGUGAGAUUUCUUGCCAACUUAACAACAGCAAAUUACAUAAGUGAUUAGGAAAAAAAUAAUUUCCAGUAAAACUAGAUAUAUUGCUACUGCAUCUAGUGAAAUCUCUGCACUGUCAUUUUAGCAGCUCUUCUCAGCAAUUCAGAGUAUUUCCACUUGAUGGCACCAAAUUUUUUUUUUCCAACUUCAAAGACUCCUUUAACAAAAGAGAUGCUGAAUUGCAAAGAAAUAAUCAGGACAAAUGCAUGUUUUUCUUUCUGAGCACAUUUCUUAAAAAUCUGGAGGUAUUUUUUUUGGUUGUUGUUGUUCUUGUUUUUGUUUUUUUUUAAUAAGGAAUACAGUGAAUUUGAUGCGGUGGCUUUGUCUCUUCUAUUUGACCAUGACCACACAGUCAUUUGAGCUACUUACUUUUCUUCUCUGCUUAGAGUGUAUCUCCAUUCAGUGAAGGUUGUGUUUAUCAUAUUGUUAUAAAGUAGGCUCCUGAAUAUGGAUGAAUCAUGCAUUUUAAAAUAAAUUUUGUUUCUGUCCCUAUCUUUGAAACUCGUCCUUUGCUUAUCUUAAAAAUGAAGGGCACUCAAAUAGAUUAUCACAAAAUAAAAGGCAAGUUUUUAAGGGUUGAAUAUUAAUUUUGACUCAUAUUCUAAACUGUCUGUUGCUUUUCAAUAGUAAUAUCUGAUGAGCAAUUCUCAGUAAGAUAACUACUGUAAAAACAACUUCUAUAAGCUUUACUUGUAUGUUAUAUACAGGCAGUAGAAGCACAAACAAGCAAAAAUGUAGUUUAAGUAGUUGUCCAAUUCUUAGAGAUUUCACAAGCUUUAGGCAAUGUUCAGCAUCGUGUACAAUGUACCAGAUAAUAAUAGAUUAGGUACAGGAUAAUAUCAGAUUAGAGUAAAUAUCCAUUUAUUGUUUCUCAUCUCAUCUCCCAGCAAUAAGCCAUGUGAGGCAGAGCCAAGUCUUGUGUCUGGGUACCUGCAUGGGGGGUUGUCCUCUCUCCCCUAGGUUCGUGAUUAAACCUCUUGGAUACAGCAGUGACAUAAACUAUGCACAGAACCAUCUGUUGUGGUUCUACAACUGCAAACCAGCAUUUUAGCUGUGUCUAAUGAAAUCUGUCUCAUUUCUCUCAGCAAAACAGAGAAUGCAGUGCAGCAUUGAUACAGGGAAGGCCUCAGGGAGUCCUGGCCAGAAGAGGAUAGGGAGGCAGGGACAGAUCAGAGUUCGGUGCAUGUCCUCAUCCAAAAUUAGGAUAUCAGUGAAGGGUUUCUAAGACAAAAGGCAAUCCCAAGAUUCUUCUGCCACAGACUGCAUUUUGUGCUAGAAUUUAUGUGAGUACAGUCUGCAAUGAACCUUCUAUACAGAGGUGUGUGCGUGCAAAACAAGUAGAAUGUGCUGCUGUUUUGGGCAGGUCCAAAUCAGCUGCUCUGUGCAAAGCUAGGCAGACAUUUCCCAGAUAUGUGACAGCUACUGUCACACACUACAGAGCUGCCCUGUGCCCAUGGGCAGUCACUCAUAUAUGCAGAUACUCAGCAUGGUUGGAGCUGCCUGCUGCCAUGACUUGGCAGCCAGAUGUCCUGGUGUCUCAUUCAGCUUACAGCAAAGAGGACUUCUUUGGAAAAGCUUCAUCCAGAGGCUCCCCUCCCCUUCUGUCACCUGCCCUCAAGUUUUAAAUUGUUCCCAGUCCAGUCCUGCGUCUGCCUCUAAAGUACUUUUUUGGUUCUUGAAUGUUAAAGAAUUGUUCAGUUCAACUUUUCCAUCUAGCUCCAUUUUACAAAUCUAUGAUCUGACUUAUUUCCUAUUUCAGAAGUAUCUUUCAGCUCUAAUUUCCACAGUUUCUUCUGUGAGAAAGCAAGCCACUGGCCCAGUCCUGGUUUCCACCAGUAAUAUUUUCACACAAUCUUAGCUCCAUAUGAGACCUAUGCUUGAGGAUAUGAACAUUUCGAGUAGUUAAGGUUCUUGAGCCAGGACCUGAACUCAGCCACUCAGAUUAAUUGGUCUCAUAGGCUGGCCUUCCUCCUUAGAAGAACUGCAUGGAAGAAAGUCCAAUACUGAAAACAUGGAAGCACUCUUCAUGGAAAUACAGUUACUGUUUUAAACAAGUCUUUUAUUGUUUCUGCAUAACAACAUCACUUAUUAUAGCUAACUAUUGAAAAACAAACAAACAAAAGCCAUUUUCAUUUGAUUUCAUGUUCUUGCUCUAUAAUUUUGUCAUCCACAAUCCAGGAAGAAAACUCUCUCACUCCAGUGCAGUGAAUUACUACAUGACAUUUGUGAUGUUUCAUUUCCCACCAAAAAAAAAAAAAAAAAAAAAAAAAUUCAAGAGGCUGUAAAAAAAGCAUGAGUCUCCUUUCUGUCUUGUAGAGAGGGUGGAAAAUGCAAAGAACAAUCAUUACUAGCCAGAGCUUUAUUAGACAUGAAAAAUAGCAUCUGGAAGCAAUGCUUGUCUUUUCCUCAGCAAAGAAAACUGCCAGCACCACAGCUUCUUCCAACACCACUUUGAGCAUCUAGAGUCCAACCCAAAGCAUCUCCACCUGCAAAGUCCUCCAGCACAACUCCACUUCUGCCCUACACGAGCUUAGUCAGCAGCUGUGUCUUCCCUAGCAUAGAAGUCUGACAGCCAAAUUUGUUUUUCUUGGGGAUGUUUAUCUCACUUAAACCCCUAAUUUUCUCUAUACAAUAGAGAUCAGUCAUGUUAACUCACAAUUAAAUCAGGAGUUAAUCCCAAAAAGAAAACUCUUAAUAACUCUUUCCCCUCCUACGUUCCAGCAAACACUUUUGCCUAAUAAUAUAUCCAUGAUCUGUCACAUUUUAGCAACUAUUUACUGUGGUUCCACCUAAAUUUUGUAUCCCCUCAUUAUUAUCACUGAAAAUUAUUUAAAGUUAGAAAUAGAGUCAUGAAGCAAACAUGCAUGCCAAUGCUUAAGAGUUCUGCAGGACAGGCAUUCCACCCAUGUACUGCUGUUUCUUAUUUCGUGUGUGACAAGGACUUCAUGUGUAAUUACUGAUGGUGUGAAACUUUGAAAACUACAGAUUCUGCAUUUAGAUUGUAGAUGAUUCUGGCUGCUUUGCUGCUAUACAAGGGUAUUUUUGCCCUGAUUGUGGUUGUCCCAAUCACAUCUGGGUGCCACACUCUAAGUUCUCUAAGAUGCAUAGUCUGUGCCAUUCUGCAUCUAUACUAAUUACAGUGGCAGAAGCCAGGCUAGACCCAGCACCCUGCGUGUUUUGCCUUUCCCAGGUGAGAAAACAGCUGACCUUCUCCAAAGCUGGUGCAGAAGCCCAGCACAUGACCCUGUGGAGGGUGCAGGAGCUGAGGCCCUGAGACAGGCACAAGCCAGGGUGCAGGCCUGUUUACUGCAGCUGCAGGUUGUUAGCAAGCCUUCCAGUGCAUCCCUCCACAGAUCUCUAUCACUGUAAGCUGCCUCACCGAGAUGCUAACGUACAAGCAGAGACAAAUUAACACUGACACUGGCUUUUGUGCUAAUGCCAGAAAUGUGUUUUGCAAGAGCAGAAGCUGCUGAAGAAGGAGAAGUGGAAGUAGAGGUGGAAGGAGUUAAUCUGUGCAGGAUCUGAAGCAGCUAAGUGGUUGGCAAUCCAGGAAGCUGCUCACUUCCAAAUGGUAUUGGGCAAAAGACAGAGAUAUCAGAGGAGUAAGGGUCUCAAGUGGCAAGUUCACUGAAGCAGAGGAAAAAUCCAGAUAUGUUGGUUUUGCUGUUUCAGUCUUAUUGUUCUGUCAAGAGAAAGACCUUUCAUACAAAGAAGUGCUUUCUAUGAGAUAAAUCAGGAACCCACAGAGGCAGCUCUGUAUGUGAGUAACCCAGUUAUACCUAUUUCACUGGUAAAUGUGACAUUAUGGUGACUAAGACCACAAGAGGAUGAGACACAAAAGAAAUACAGAAGAGAAGAGAUUACAAAAAUAUACAGUAAUAUCAGUGAUAUACAUAUGAAGUAGAAAGGUAUUAACAAGCAAGAUCGUCCUGGAUGACAUGCUUGAUCACAUAAGGAAUGAGCAUGUGAUCUCAGACAGCCAGCAUGGCUUC